CCUACGGGUGGCUGCAGUGGGGAAUAUUGGUCAAUGGGCGAAAGCCUGAUCCAGCCAUGCCGCGUGUGUGAAGAAGGCCUUCGGGUUGUAAAGCACUUUCAGUGGGGAAGAAAGCCUUGGGGCUAAUACCCUCGAGGAAGGACAUCACCCACAGAAGAAGCACCGGCUAACUCCGUGCCAGCAGCCGCGGUAAUACGGAGGGUGCGAGCGUUAAUCGGAAUUACUGGGUGUAAAGCGCGCGUAGGCGGUCUGAUAAGCCGGUUGUGAAAGCCCCGGGCUCAACCUGGGAACGGCAUCCGGAACUGUCAGGCUAGAGUGCAGGAGAGGAAGGUAGAAUUCCCGGUGUAGCGGUGAAAUGCGUAGAGAUCGGGAGGAAUACCAGUGGCGAAGGCGGCCUUCUGGACUGACACUGACGCUGAGGUGCGAAAGCGUGGGUAGCAAACAGGAUUAGAUACCCUGGUAGUC
rnacentral:rRNA from 1 species